rnacentral:rRNA from 1 species
GACGGGGGCCCGCACAAGCGGUGGAGCAUGUGGUUUAAUUCGAUGAUACGCGAGGAACCUUACCUGGGCUCAAAUGUAUGUUGACGUAUUCUGAAAGGGAUACUUCUUCGGACAAUAUACAAGGUGCUGCAUGGUUGUCGUCAGCUCGUGCCGUGAGGUGUCGGGUUAAGUCCCAUAACGAGCGCAACCCCUACCUUUAGUUGCCAUCAGGUUAAGCUGGGGACUCUAAAGGAACUGCCUACGCAAGUAGUGAGGAAGGCGGGGAUGACGUCAAAUCAGCACGGCCCUUACGUCCAGGGCUACACACGUGCUACAAUGGCCGAUACAGAGGGCAGCUACCUGGUGACAGGAUGCAAAUCUCCAAAGUCGGUCUCAGUUCGGAUCGGAGUCUGCAACCCGACUCCGUGAAGUUGGAUUCGCUAGUAAUCGCGCAUCAGCCAUGGCGCGGUGAAUACGUUCCCGGGCCUU